GAGAGAUACCGGUCGGAUUGCAGAAAGCAGAUGAGCCGGCAGAGAGGGGCAUGAGCGACGUUGAAGUGUCAGAACACUAGCAAUCUGAAGUGUGUGCAGAGCGAGGGGCCAUUAUCGGAGCCACUGUGGGCACGUACGAUGGAAUGGAGGAGCGUGCAGUGAACAGAAACAGAAAGCGCUAAAGGCUAUAGUCACAAGGAAACAGCAGCUCCACCCAACGCACUCUCGCUUCUCACAUUUUACCUAAGCUUUUUGGCUUGUUCAUUUCGACCCAGCGUAGGACUGGUUUCGUAUGAUUUCGUGCGUUGCAUCUUGGACACACGCAUUCAUCCAUCAGCGGAAGCUGCAGGAGAAAGCAAAAAAUGCAAUUGUGGUUGUUUUCCUUCCGAUUAUAUCCUCUUUCAGCGCAGCCCAUGGAGAGGGACGAAGGGACAAAAAACGGUUCCUCCAUCCCAGCGAAUUCCUCGCGUGAAACCUGCAGUCGAUCUUAGAGUGAAGCCGCGCAAGUGGGAGCGUGGUUGUUGACUUGCUAACCCUUCCGCGAAGAAUGAAAGGAGAAACUGGAAAAGAGGGUGUUUUGAUAUGAUCUUUGCGUUCUGCAACGGAGAUCAGCUGAAAGACACCAAUGUGGGAUAAAACUACAUGAUGGAAAGGAGGACAGGGAAUAUUGGAUGACACUUUGAGAUCAGCGAGGAUGAGGAGCAGGAUAUCAAGAGAGGGAUAAGGGCAGAGAGAUACUGCGUCAGAAGAAAGUGGGAAUUCUAUGGAGAAGUUCCUCUUGCUAUGUGGUGAAUGGUGGUGGAAGACCGAGGAUGAGUCAUUUUGUUAUUCUCGUGACAAACCAAUUGCAUUCGUAAACGGACGAGCCUCGCCAUCUUGUCCACCGGGCCAAGAUCGCAGCGCACCGCCUGUCGUUGGCUCCUCGUCAUCGUUCUACCAUCGUUGUCGUUACUUGCUGGCUGACUGGCCUCGCAGAGUCGCUCCUCUUCUCAAUAAUCGCCAGCUUUCGGCACACAUCCGCAGCCAGGUGAAGAAGAAAAAACAUGGCUGCCUCCUCCUCCUGCUGCGUAGUCUAAUUCUCUGACAUUAUUCACCAUUUGCAGACUUUGCCAUUCUUUGACAGAAGUGACUUCCUCUCCUACUUUGGUCUUUGUCUGUCUCUUAUAGCUUCCCUGCACUGUCAUUUUCUACAGGCUUUCUCGGUCUGCCUCGCUCUCCGCUUCGUUCCCCGAGCCUUUUCUCGUUCAAGCUUACUGCAGAUUUCUCCGGUCCCGACGAUUGCACAUUGUCUGCCUCUCUCCUGCCAGACGUAUUUUUAUAUAUACACAUAGAACAGAUGAGCGUCAUCCCCAAAGCGAAACGGUGCAGCCUGAGCUUUCCAAGGGAAGGACAGAAGCGGAGCAUAAGUCACAUGAGCAGGGAGGGCCAAUGAGCGAGAGGAAAGGCAGUGGGCAGGCGAGGUUGGAAGCACAUGUUGAUGACGUAGUGUAGUUGCAUCAUCGGCGUCAUCGUGUCAUUAGCCUCCAUGACUGCCACCCACCAACACAUUCGCCUCCGCCUCUCAUAAGGCAUCACCCGCCGCAUUCGAAAACUUGCACUUUCAGUCAGCCCUACGUUCUGGCUCACGCCUCCGUCUGAAUUGAUGCAGCGGUUCAGGCUCCCCGCUGGUCUUGAGUCAUAAUCCUGGUGCACAAAAGUUGUCUUUUUAAGGUCAACAGUACAGCCUAGUUGAAUGCUAGCAUGAGCUCGCGUUGAGCAAGACAUGCCAUCGCUCUCAUAUCUGCGUGUGUGCGGUCUACUUUUUGGUGUGGUGUGGCACAAAAAUAUUCAACGGAGUGAAAAUUGAAUUUAUAACUGAGGGAGUAUACUGAGUAUAACAUCAUUAAAUAUGAUUUUAAAAAUGUCAAUUAAAUAUGAGACUGAGCAAUGGUAAUCAACACAAAUCCUUAACAGAGAAUCAAUUCUGUUGUCACUGUCCAGUAUUUUGUCAUUGAAAGACGAAGACAUUUUCUGGAUGUAAAUAAAGACAUACAAAAUUUUCAGCUGUU